rnacentral:lncRNA from 1 species
AAGAUUUUUUUCUUUAUUAAAAGCAUUAGAAGUCUGUGCUCUAGACUGUACAAAUACUUGUUUUCCAUCUGCUCUCAUCCCGUGUCGAGCACCACAGGGAAAGCGGGGCUGCCAGGGAAUCGGUCCGGGCUUGUUGUUUGUGAGUGCUGGCACUCGGAGCAGCCCCGGGGCCGGUCUGUGCCACCCGGCAGUGGCUGUGCGGCCGGGCUGCCAGGCGGGCGGGGAACCGCGGUGCUCUGUCCUCCGCACGCCGCGCUCCUCGGCCCCGGCCAUCUCCCCACCUUCGCAUUUUCGGCUUUGGACGGGAGCCGUGGGAGUGGCUGUGCAGCUCUGCCACCCACUGACACUUUCCCAUGCCAGAGAGAGUCCGGCGAGGAGCCGCAGCCGGUUCCUGCUCCCCCGUGCCCCGGGGCUCGGGCGGACCGGGCGGCACGGCGGAGCGGGCGGGUGCGGGGCCGCGGGGGCUGCGCUCGGCCGGGGGAUGCGGCAGCAGCCGGGACGGGGCGGCUGGCGCCAGUGCCACCAGUGCCACCAGUGGCACCAGUGGCACCAGCGGCGGCUCCCGCCUCCCCGCCGCGGGGAAAGGAAGGAGCUCAGUGUGGAUGGCUCCGGGCAAACGGGCUCCGCAGCCGUAAGAGCUUUCCCGGUCCCGUCCGGGUCCGUCCGGCCCCGGCAGGGCUGAGGGGCGAGGACUGGGCGAGGCUGCCCCGGCAAGGAGACCCCCGAGCGCCGCCCUGGGCCACAUCCCGAUCCCGGUCCCGAUCCCGAUCCCCAUCCCCAUCCCCAUCCCGGUCUCCGUCCCGGUCCCGGUCCCGGUCCCGAUCCUCGCCCCUCCCCGAUCCUGAUCCCGAUCCGGAUUCCGAUCCUGAUCCCGGUCCCGGUCCCGGUCCCGAUUCCGAUCCCAAUCCUGAUCCCGGUCCCGGUCCAGAUUCCGAUCCCAAUCCUGAUCCCGGUCCCGAUUCCGAUCCCUGUCUUCGCCCCGCGCCCGGCAGCAGGCUUGGAGCGCCACCUAGCGGGCGGGGCCGUGCCGGGCGUCACCGGGACCGGGACCGGGACCGUGCCCGUGCCCGGCGUUACCGGGGCCCGGACUGUGCCCGUUCUCCUCUAACUUACACGUUCGCUGGGGCACGGGCGGCCGCCUGCCGCAGACCCGCCGGGGGUGUCCCGGCACCCCGGUUAACAACGGCUGCGUGA